CGUUCUUGUUCGUGCACCUAAGCCCUAAGCCCUUGUCCACAGCCACAGCCAUAGUCGUGUUUUGCCUUGAUCUUUGCUACACCACGAACCCGAGAUGAUCCAGAGGAUUAGUCUGACUACUUUAAUGCAAAUCCACAUUCAGCUUCAGAAAUCCCACCUGUCUCUGUGGGAGUUUGUUUUGGUCCCACCAGUGAAGCUCUGCAGCUGCUGGAUUUUUCCUCCACAUGAAGUAUCUUAUCUGAACGAUGACUCCGGCUGAAGACAAGAAGGUUUGUGUUUUAUUGUGGCAGGAAACUCUUCUGUUGAAGAUGUAAACCUUUGUCUCAGUGGGAAUACUUUUCUCCCACCUGCAAGUCUACAUCAUCAGCCACAUGGUGGCACUGCAGCUUUUGAUUUUAUCUCUGAAUUAUUUU